rnacentral:rRNA from 1 species
UUCCAGACUCCUACGGGAGGCAGCAGUGGGGGAUAUUGCACAAUGGGGGAAACCCUGAUGCAGCGACGCCGCGUGGGCGAAGAAGUAUUUCGGUAUGUAAAGCCCUAUCAGCAGGGAAGAAGAAAUGACGGUACCUGAGUAAGAAGCACCGGCUAAAUACGUGCCAGCAGCCGCGGUAAUACGUAUGGUGCAAGCGUUAUCCGGAUUUACUGGGUGUAAAGGGAGCGCAGGCGGCACGGCAAGCCUGAUGUGAAAGCCCGCGGCCCAACCGCGGGACUGCAUUGGGAACUGUAAGGCUAGAGUGUCGGAGAGGCAGGCGGAAUUCCUAGUGUAGCGGUGAAAUGCGUAGAUAUUAGGAGGAACACCAGUGGCGAAGGCGGCCUGCUGGACGAUGACUGACGUUGAGGCUCGAAAGCGUGGGGAGCAAACAGGAUUAGAUACCCCGGUAGA